UGGGGAAUAUUGGGCAAUGGGGGGAACCCUGACCCAGCAACGCCGCGUGAAGGAAGAAGGUUUUCGGAUUGUAAACUUCUGUCCUUGGUGAAGAGGAAGAGACGGUAGCCAAGGAGGAAGCCCCGGCUAACUACGUGCCAGCAGCCGCGGUCAUACGUAGGAUCCAAGCGUUAUCCGGAGUGACUGGGCGUAAAGAGUUGCGUAGGCGGUAUGUUAAGCAGAUAGUGAAAUCAUGUGGCUCAACCAUAAUGGCUAUUAUCUGAACUGGCAUACUCGAGAGUAGUAGAGGUACCUGGAAUUUCUAGUGUAGGGGUGAAAUCCGUAGAUAUUAGAAGGAACACCAAUGGCGUAGGCAGGGUACUAGACUAUUUCUGACGCUAAGGCACGAAAGCGUGGGGAGCGAACCGG
rnacentral:rRNA from 1 species